rnacentral:rRNA from 1 species
CGCAGGCGGAUAUAUAAGUCGNAGGUGAAAUUCUGAUGCUCAACAUCAGCCGUGCNNUCGAUACUGUAUAUCUAGAGUCAAGUUGGAGUAGGCGGAAUGUGUUGUGUAGCGGUGAAAUGCUUAGAUAUAACACAGAACACCGAUCGCGAAGGCAGCUUACUAAACUUUGACUGACGCUCAUGCACGAAAGCGUGGGGAUCAAACAGGAUUAGAUACCCUGGUAGUCCACGCUGUAAACGAUGAUUACUCGCUGUUGGCGAUACACAGUCAGUGGCUAAGCGAAAGUGAUAAGUAAUCCACCUGGGGAGUACGACGGCAACGUUGAAACUCAAAGGAAUUGACGGGGGCCCGCACAAGCGGAGGAGCAUGUGGUUUAAUUCGAUGAUACGCGAGGAACCUUACCAGGGCUAGAACGCAAGUUGAUUAUGUGCGAAAGUAUAUAUCUCUUCGGAGCAAUUUGCGAGGUGCUGCAUGGUUGUCGUCAGCUCGUGCCGUGAGGUGUCAGGUUAAGUCCUAUAACGAGCGCAACCCCUACUCUUAGUUGCCAGCAUGUAAUGAUGGGGACUCUAAGAGAACUGCCUACGCAAGUAGAGAGGAAGGUGGGGAUGACGUCAAAUCAGCACGGCCCUUAUGUCCUGGGCUACACACGUGCUACAAUGGUCGGUACAGAGGGCAGCUACCUGGCGACAGGAUGCUAAUCUCAAAAGCCGAUCUCAGUUCGGAUCGGAGUCUGCAACUCGACUCCGUGAAGUUGGAUUCGCUAGUAAUCGCGCAUCAGCCAUGGCGCGGUGAAUACGUUCCCGGGCCUUGUACACACCGCCCGUCAAGCCAUGGAAGCUGGGGGUACCUAAAGUCCGUAACCGCAAGGAGCGGCCUAGGGUAAAACUAGUGACUGGGGCU